rnacentral:rRNA from 1 species
UACAGAGGUCCCAAGCGUUGUUCGGAUUUAUUGGGCGUAAAGGGUGCGUAGGCGGUGCGGUAAGUCACUUGUGAAAUCUCUGAGCUUAACUCAGAACGGCCAAGUGAUACUGCAGUACUAGAGUGCGGAAGGGGCAAUCGGAAUUCUUGGUGUAGCGGUGAAAUGCGUAGAUAUCCGGAAGAACACCUGAGGCGAAGGCGGCUUGCUGGGCCUGAUCUGACGCUGAGGCGCGAAAGCGUGGGGAGCAAACGGG